GUGGUGUUUGGAUUGAUACGGGUGGUCGGCUCCCUGCUUGUGCAGGCACGGCCAUGCGUACAUUCCUCUUCAGUUAUGCGGCAGGGCUUGUAUCGCCUUGAUCGUAUGUGUGGGUUUCCUGUGUUGCAUACCUGAUCAAUGGCAUCGUCUUGAUCAAAACAGUCCCUUUUUCGUCAAGCGCUGCUCUCGUGACGUAGGACGAAUCAACUAGCACCCUCUUUGAUCCAUCCUGUUGACGAUCAUUUGUCUAUGGUUUGGCCCAUUGAGGGAUGCUUGGUCUCUCGGAUAUGGAAGCCAAAGUGGGCAUGGGGUUGUAUGAUCCUUUUAUUGCCCUCGUUGAGCGUUCUCGCUUCUCUAAAACGACCGCCUCUCACGUAUGGCACGUCCCAGCGUGUUUGGCUACGUCGAAGAGGAAUG
rnacentral:misc_RNA from 1 species